rnacentral:rRNA from 1 species
UACGUAGGGUGCAAGCGUUGUCCGGAAUUAUUGGGCGUAAAGGGCGCGUAGGCGGCCUUCUAAGUCGAACGUGAAAUCCCCGGGCUCAACCCGGGAACUGCGUCCGAUACUGGAAGGCUUGAAUCCGGAAGAGGCAAGUGGAAUUCCCGGUGUAGCGGUGAAAUGCGCAGAUAUCGGGAGGAACACCAAUGGCGAAGGCAGCUUGCUGGGACGGUACUGACGCUGAGGCGCGAAAGCGUGGGGAGCAAACAGG